ACGACCUUACUUGAACAGGAUCUGUUCUAUAGGAUCGUAUUACUGUGUCCUUGAUUUCUAAGGAGACAGGAACAAAAAUCUGGAUGAUGAACUAUGACCGUGUGAUCAGAGCGUGAUUAACGGCUAGGAUGGUUCUCUAGUUGAGACAUCAUCUCUGUGCUGUAGAGGAUUGUUCCGGGUCAGUUAUAUCUGACCUGGAUGGUCUCACGGUGUUCUUACAGAUU